GAUUUUAAAUAAGGGCAUUUAAUGUCUCGAAAAGACAUCUUGGAAUUGUGUUCUUGAAAUUUGUGUUUCUGGAAAUUCAUUGAGGAGAUUUUCUCGGCAUUUGGGGACGAAACCCCUCAAGUGAGACAUUUCUCUUGCCUGUGAGAGACCAGGUUUGAGAAAUCUUUAAGAUUAAACUGGCAUUGAAGGAAGGGAUCAAAUCUUUCAGUCUGGGAUUGUUUAAUAUCUGCAAAGUCCACUGAACUGGUAAGGAGUUAUAAUCAAACUCUGUGUUAUUUGGUAUUGAAGUUUCCAGUUGCAGAAAAUUCUUAGUUCAGAUUUCACAGAGCAUACUUCAGUAUAGUCGAAGGCUUUGAACAUCAUAUCCACUGCAUAUAUAUACGUGCAUUUGCACAGGGAAAGCUUGGGCAUAUGUUGAAUAUUAAGUUCGCUAAGAUUGCCAACAGCCAAGACAGUUCGAACGCACCAUGCUGUGAACAGCAUUCAAACUACCUUUCUAGACGUAAUUAACUUUCCUGCUGGACAUUAAAAUCUGAUACAGCGGGGCAUAUGGGAAGGGAGUUAUACAGGGAACUUCGUAUUUUCAUUAUACAGGCCAGACGUUAAGUGCUGAACCUUUAAAGAAUCAUACGACACCAAUAUAACUGCUGGUCGUGAUCUUAGCUUGUGGCUGGGCAUGAAUCUUAUUACUUUUGCUGGGAGGUUAAUGCUAUUGGCUGGGCGUAAAUAUCACCAAUUACCUGGGCGUGUCCACUCCAACAUUGACAGGCAUCGUUCAUCAACCUGCUAGCCGAACACAUACACCUGUGGGUGUCCUUUGCAUUUGCUGCGAGAGGGGUAACUGUGGGUCUGUUUGGAGACUUUCCAGAUUAGUGGCGUGGAAUAAGGAGGUUGCAGCAGUCGCUGUAUGAGUGGAGAUAUCUUUUGGAUCAUAGGGUACAAGACUCUCAGCGAACAGACUUCUUCCAGGUUGUUAUUGUGUGAAUCCAUUCUCAAUGAAAGGAUUGGAAGUUUAUGGUGUAAACUACAAUGCCUCUCAUUCGCUAAAGAGAUGUGCAGGCAAAUCCAUUUAGAAUGGGCCCCAAAUGAAUAGGUUGGCCCUAGGCAUUUGUCAUUAAUAUGAGAGCUUACCCUAUUUUGUAUAAGAAUGUAAGUUUGUGACAUACAAGCAUUGUCAUUACGAUUUGAAUAAGUUUAUAAAGCUAACAUUUCUGA